UGAAUCAGGGCUUGGUGUUGAAGUACACUUGGAUUAUUAGUGCAUUUAAAUAGUUUGUUUCGAUUUUUUUAAUUUUGAGGCCACAAGGCGAGACGCAAUCGGAAGUUCGAAACGCUCCGCGUAAUUAUUUAUACUAAUCAAAUUUAUGGUAAACUAAGAUCAAAACUAAAAUAUCCCAUGCAUUCAAUCCCAUGCAUUCUGUAAGGAGAUCGAGUCCCUGGAAUGGGUUCACCCCGAGAUAGGGACGGUGCCUCCGUAGAGCAGUGCGGCUCUUGCGCUGUCCGCAGCGCUCCUGUCGGCUCUUGAAAAUCCGAGUGAGGGAGUGUGAUUUUCGUGCCGGACUGUACCCACAUCCGCAGCAGGUCUCCAAGGUGAACAGCCUUU
rnacentral:rRNA from 1 species